AGAGGUCUGAUCCAAAGCCCACUGAAGAUAAUGGGGGUCUUUCCAUUGACUUAAAUGGGCUUUGGAUCAAACCCUAAACU
rnacentral:pre_miRNA from 1 species